rnacentral:rRNA from 1 species
GACGAACGCUGGCGGCGUGCUUAACACAUGCAAGUCGAACGGUGAACGAGGGAGCUUGCUCCCUCCGGAUCAGUGGCGAACGGGUGAGUAACACGUGAGCAAUCUGCCCCGAACUCUGGGAUAAGCGUUGGAAACGACGUCUAAUACCGGAUACGACGCGGGAGGGCAUCCUCUCCGCGUGGAAAGAACUUCGGUUCGGGAUGAGCUCGCGGCCUAUCAGCUUGUUGGUGAGGUAACGGCUCACCAAGGCGACGACGUGUAGCCGGCCUGAGAGGGUGACCGGCCACACUGGGACUGAGACACGGCCCAGACUCCUACGGGAGGCAGCAGUGGGGAAUAUUGCGCAAUGGGCGCAAGCCUGAUGCAGCAACGCCGCGUGAGGGACGACGGCCUUCGGGUUGUAAACCUCUUUUAGCAGGGAAGAAGCGAAAGUGACGGUACCUGCAGAAAAAGCACCGGCUAACUACGUG